CAGCCGCCGCGGUAAUACGAAGGGGGCUAGCGUUGUUCGGAUUUACUGGGCGUAAAGGGCGCGUAGGCGGGCGAAUAAGUCAGGGGUGAAAUCCCAAGGCUCAACCUUGGAACUGCCUUUGAUACUGUUUGUCUUGAGUUCGAGAGAGGUGAGUGGAACUGCGAGUGUAGAGGUGAAAUUCGUAGAUAUUCGCAAGAACACCAGUGGCGAAGGCGGCUUACUGGCUAGAAACUGACGCUGAGGCGCGAAAGCGUGGGGAGCAAACAGGAUUAGAUACCCCAGUAGUCCCUGUCUCUUAUAC
rnacentral:rRNA from 1 species